UUCUGCAGGUAUUUUCUUGGAGAGAAAGGGAAAUGAAAAGUUUGAUAGAGAGGAUGGUUCUCCUUCUUGACCACUGUUGAUGAUAUUGAAUACAGUUUCUUGUGCUAUACCUCUUGCCCUUUUGAGGAGGGACAGGAUCAAGAAGCAAGAGCUGACUUUGGCUGAUGCUUGUUAUGUGCCUUAUGGUGCUAGGACAUCUUGUAUAUAUUAUCACAUUCAAUCCUCAUGUGAUCCUACAGAAUAGGAUCUACACAUACCUAUAAAAGACGUAGAGAAUGCAAAGACAGAUAAGCCUGGACCUUCUGUCAUGAAGCUCACAGUCUAAAGAUCCAGGCGCCUGGCAGUGAGAGCUCCAAGUCCUAACCACUGGUCCACUGGAGAAUUCCCUUUUGAUAUUUUCUUACUGUUCUCACAGUUUUUCUCAAAUGAAGCUCAGAGGCAAUUUACCAGAAAAUAAAAUAAAAUUACAUUGGGGUUCAUAUGGAGAUCAUGUUAAAUUUAUAUAUUAAUCUAGGAGAAAUAUUUUUUAACUGUAAUAAUUCUUGCCUCAGGGAAAAUAUCUUGUCUUUCCACUUAUUUAAGUUUUUUUU